GGCAGUUUGGCUAAGUGAUCAAAGGCGCCAGAUUUAGACUCUGGUCCAAAAGGGUGUGUGUUCAUAUUUCGACAGUUGUCA
rnacentral:tRNA from 1 species